rnacentral:lncRNA from 1 species
ACCCUCCCUUCUUCACAUCCAAUUUUCUUUCCUGACUACCAGGCUGAGCAAAUCAGAGUGCUUUCAGGCCCAACACACAGGCAACAGCCUGGCAUGGACUUCUCUAUCAACCCCCAAAAUUGCAUGGGGUCUAAUUUAUAUAGAAAAGUGCCAAUUCUGAAUCAUAGUGGUUUUGCUCCUUUAAUUGACCUAAGCUGAUACAACAGUGCUUAAAACUUUUUUUUGCCAAUAAAUAGGUGAAAUUGUAAUACUUUUUGCAUUUUUACUUUUUAAAAAAAUUUCCAAUAUUCUAUUUGCAUUCUUAUUAUGAAUGAUGUCAAACAUCUUCACGUUCAUUUAAAGGCUUCUGAAGUUUACUUCCAUUGAUUGUUCAUAUCCAUUGCCUAAUUUUUCCAAUGGAUUUUGGGUUUGUUUUUUUUUUCUCAUUGUUUAAGUAACAACUUUCUAUAUGUUUGGGAAAUUACCCUCUUUUUAAGAGUCUUGAUCUUGGGGUUGUAAAUGUGAGCCCCACAUUGGGUGUAGAUAUUACUAAAAAUAAAAUCUUUUUAAAAAAAAAUCCCAUUGCCAAUAGCAAUUCUCCAAGCAAAAAUCUAGGAACCAAAACUCCUCCUAUUUUCUGGCUCUGCCACCUUCAAUAUGCCAUUUUCUUUUUAAGAUUUAUAUAUGGGGGCGCCUGGGUGGCUCAGUUGGUUAGGUGUCUGCCCUCGGCUUGGGUCAUAAUCCCAGGGUCCUGGGAUUGAGCCCCACAUCGGGCUCCCUGCUCAGUGAGGAGUCUAUGUUUCCCUCUCCCUCUGGCUUCCCUACCCUUGCUCGUGCUCUCUCUCUGUCUCACAAAUAAUCUUUAAAAAAAAAAAAAAAGAUUUAUGUAUGUAUGUAUGUAAUCUCUAUACCCAAUGUAGGGCUUGAACUCAUGACCCUGAGAUCAAGAAUCAUAUGUUUUUCCAACUAAGCUAGCCAAGAGCCCCAACAUGCCAUUUUCAAAUGUUCCCAAGAUUUCUGUGUACAUUAAAGUACCAAAUGGCAAAAGAAAGAGUUUGGCCCAUCUACUGCGAUUAAAAACAAAACCAACAGAAAAACAAUAAAAAAAAAAAAAAAAAAAAAAACACUCAGUAUGCCGGAAACAGAAGGAAACUUCCUCAAUAUGAUGAAGGGCAUUUUUGAAAAACCCAAAGCUAACAUCAAAAUCAGUGGUAAAAGCCUGAAAGCUUUCCCCAUAAGAUCAAGAGAAAGACAAGGAUGCCACUUUCACCACUUAUAUUUAACACAGUACUAAGUUUUGGGAGUCUUAGCCAAAGCAAUUGGGCAAGAAAAACAAGAUAGAAAAGGUAUCCAAAUUGGAAAGAAAGAAGUAAAAUGAUCUGUUUGCACAUAUUUGUUUAUUAUAACAGCUUUUUUUUUUCUUAUGAAAUCUUUAGAAUACCAAAGUCGUAGGAUAAAAAAAUCAACAACUUUAGUUGAGUUUUAUAUACUAAAACUAAACAAUCCAGAAAAGAAAAUUAAGAAAUUCCAUGUAGAAUAGCAACAAAAAGAAUAAAAUUCUUAGGAAUAAAUUUAACCGAGGAGGCAAAGGCUUAUACACUAAGAACUACAAAACACUGCUGAAAAAAAUUAAAGAUGACACAAAUGGAAAGUCACCUGUGUUCACAGAAUGGAAGACCUAAUGUUGCUAAGAUGUCAAUACUACCCAAAACUAGCUACAGAGGUCAUUGUGAUCCCUUUCAAAAUCCCAGUAUUUUUGGCAGAAAUAAAAUUCAUCCUUAUCUUAAAGUUUUUUAAAAAGUGCUAAUUGUGGGGGAUCCCUGGGUGGCGCAGUGGUUUGGCGCCUGCCUUUGGCCCAGGGCGCGAUCCUGGAGACCCGGGAUCGAGUCCCACGUUGGGCUCCCGGUGCAUGGAGCCUGCUUCUCCCUCUGCCUGUGUCUCUGCCUCUCUCUCUGUGACUAUCAUAAAUAAAUAAAUAAAAAUUAAAAAAAAAAGUGCUAAUUGUGGUUUCUUAUUUCUUCUUAUGGAGGAGAGUUAACUUACAUAAACUGAACUGUUAACUUCUUAUGGAGGAGAGUUAACUUACAUAAACUGAACUGAACUGUAGUGUUCCUCAUACUUGGACAUAUGUAUGUAUAAACAUGUGUUGUUUAUGUUAUAUACAUGUGUUACAUAGAUGAUAUAUACACACACAGGCUCUGAUUCAAUAGGUCUGGGGUGGAACCCAACAGUCUUUUCUGUCAUGUUCCCAGGCAAUGCCUAGGAUGCAUGGGUAUCACCUAGGAACUUGUUAGGUCUCAUCAGCUACAUAUUUAGGAAAAAUCUACAUGUAGCCUAUAUGAUCUCCUCCUUACUCCCCCCCCACCCCUCCUCUCCACCUCAUUUCUUGUCCUUUGGCCCAUUGCUGUCCUCCCUCCUUCAGCUACAGCCAUACUCACCUCACUGUUGUUCCUCAUAUGCCCUAAGGAGGCUUCUGACUCAGGGCCUUGGCACUAACUGGGUCCUCUGCCUGGAUCACUCUAUCCCCACUUUAUAUGGGCAUGACCUGCUUCUGUACCUUCACUUGUUGCUCAAGUGUCACCUUUUCAGAGAGGCAUUUCCUGACCACCAUAUAUAAAAUAGAAUGCCCAUUCCCCAACACCCAAAAUAUGUGUACAUGUUUACUGACUGCCCCUCCCCAUUAAAAUUUUAAGUUCCACAUCUGUUUUAUUAUUGGCAAAUGGCCAGGGCCUAGAACAGUGCUGGCCAUAUCAUAGGUUCUUAAUAAAUAAUAAAUAGUACAGAGCCAUUCAUUUAGAUUAAAACUUAAAAAUCUCAAGUCAAAUGAGGUAUCUGGAUGAUGCAGUCAGUUGAGCUACCGACUCUAGGUUUCGGCUCAUGAUCUCAGGGUUCUGGGAUUGAGCCCUACAUCAGGCUCUGAGCUCAGCAGCAUAGUCCAUUUGGAUUUGCCUCUCCUUUUUUUUUAUAAUAAAUUUAUUUUUUAUUGGUGUUCA